GGCCAGAGUUGGUGGAGUUGAGGCCCUGGAAAGGAGGAUGAGGAAGGGGAAAACAAGAGCUUUUUUUGUUUUGUUUUGUUUGCUGUCGAACAAUCCAAUGCUCAGCUCUACAGUCAGGGUAAAGUUGAGAAGGAAUUGAGCCCUCUAAGGCCCUGGCAGUCACACUUGGCAGAUGAGAAUAGAUAAAAUGAUGGUAGAGAGCGAUGGGAGGAGGAAGAGCACCUUCUCAAGCCACUGCUCAAAUGCCCAGGGAGUCACUCACCAAGGUAGCUGGCUCAGGUGGUGCUGACUGUAUACUACACAUGGAGGUCCGAGACACAGCCUCCGCCACGGGAGCUGGAGCAGCGGCCUUAGAUUCCUGAGGAAAGAUGCAAGUACUCUCAACAACUUUAGAAACAUUUGGUUAAUAAGACUGAGCAAUGGUAGACCAACAAGACACUCUGCUAUAUUAUAUGGUGUGAACAUGAUUCUCUUGAAUACCUAAGGAUUGCUGAAUAGUAAAUAAGUCAAAGCAU